AUCCAGCUGACGAGUCCCAAAUAUGAUGAAACGCACGUCCUGGAU
rnacentral:hammerhead_ribozyme from 1 species